AGGGUAUUAAGUUAAAUAGACUAUGAUACUUCAAAUAUCAAAGUAAACUUUUUGGUUUAUGCCUUG
rnacentral:tRNA from 1 species